ACGAGCGGUACUCGGUGGCCUUAACCUCCUCCCGGAAAAGGAGAACUUCGGCCCAGGUCCCACCCUCUGGGCCAGCCUGGGAGUCCUGACGAGGGUGAGGCACGCCUGCUCCUAUUAGGGUCUCCUCCAGGUGGCGCUAGUGGCAGAGAACCCGCUGGCCCGUGCAGGAGACGGAAGAGAUCCGGUUUCGAUCCCUCGGGCGCGACGAACCCCUCGAGGACGGAACAGUGUUCCACGCCAGUGUUCUUGCCUGGAGAAUUCCACGGACAGAGGCGCCUGGUGGGCUACAGUCCUUAGGGUCUCAAAGAGUCAGGCACGACUGAAGCGACUGGGCACACGCGUACCAGAGAGUGGUUUAAAAAGAAAAGGUUUAAAAAGGUUAGGUAUGACUGUCACUGGGCUCCAGAAUCACUGCAGAUGGUGACUGCAGCCAUGAAAUUGAAGGACUCUUACUCCCUGGAAGGAAAGUUAUGACCAACCCAGACAGCAUAUCUAAAAGCAGAGUCAUUAUUUUGUCAACAAAGGUCCAUCUAGUCAAGGCUAUGGUUUUUCCAGUGGUCGUGUAUGGAUGUGAGAGUUGGACUGUGAAGAAAGUUGGACUGUGAAGAAAGUUGGACUGCGAAGAAAGCUGAGCAGCGAAGAACUGGUGCUUUUGAACUGUGGUGUUGGAGAAGACUCUUGAGAGUCCCUUGGACUGCAAGGAGAUCCAACCAGUCCAUUUUGAAGAUCAGUCCUGGGUGUUCAUUGGAAGGAAUGAUGCUGAAGUUGAAACUCCGAUAUUUUGGCCACCUGAUUCGAAGAACUGACUCAUUGGAAAAGACCCUGAUGCUGGGAGGGAUUGGGGGCAGGAGGAGAAGGGGAUGACAGAGGAUGAGAUAGCUGCAUGGCAUCACUGACUCAAUGGACAUGAGUUUGGGUGAACUCCGGGAGUUGGUGAUGGACAGGGAGGCCUGGCGUGCUGCAGUUCAUGGGGUCACAAAGAGUUGGACACGACUGAGUGACUGAACUGAACUGGUGACUGUCACACAGGCAUCAGUGAAACGUGUGCGGUAGAAAUGAAGGGUCCCUCCGUCCGUCCAGGUGUGUGAGGAGGGAGCGGACUUUGUGUCCAGAGGGGCCCAGGCGCCACUGAGUCAGACAGAGCAGGAGCUGCACGCUGAGGCUGGGUCUCCCAUCCUGUGUGGGCCUUUAGAAGAGGCCUGUGUCGCUCCUUCUAGCCCCAGAGGGAAGGACAGUGCUCAGCCCACGGUGCUGGUGGGGUCUUGCCCACGCCCUCGAGGCAUGGUGUACCUACACGUGAGUGUGGUUGAGCCUGGGACAGCUGUUUGGCUGGAAUUCGCUCAUCGGUGACGUUAGAUUCCUCUCAUCAUGGAGUGUGAUGGAACCAGACGUCAGGAUCACCUGGCCCCGUGGAGGGCGCCCUGGACCGCUGUGGAGCUCCUCCUAUCACUCUCACGCAGGGCAACUAGGGGGUCCUGAGGUGCUUGCUGCCCUGGGAAGGCCUCUGUCACAAUCGGUCUUGAAAUGCCGCUGGCCUGCCUUCCGCAGAUCUCCUUCUGUUGCUGUGGGUGCUGCUGGCCUCGCUUUACUCUGCUCUGCUGACCCCGAGGCCACGGAGGGAAGUGGCCUGUUCCACCAGCACUGGGCGAGGCUCGGGUCUAGGAGUCAGGAGGCACAGAUCUCUGGGUCUGUUGGUUCUCAUCCUCAAGGGCUUCCCUCAGCGCCCCCUGCCCCACCCCGCAGCUCAGAGGUUCUGUGACUCCUCUAAGCCACGUGGCUAAAAUGUCAGUGGAAAAGGUGCAAUGAAAAAUGGCAAUGGGCAAUGGUCAAUGGAAAAUGGCUGUGGAAUACAGUACGGCAGAACCUUAAAGAAUUCCAAACAGAGUCACCGUGGGAUCCAGCAGUUCCAUGUCUGGGUACCUGGACGAAAGGACCGAAAGCAGGGAUCUGAACGGAUGUUGGUACACCUGUGUUCACAGCAGUGUUAUUCACAACAGCCACAAGGUGGAAGUGGCCCAAAUGCCCAUCGACGGAUGAUGGGAUAAACAAAAUAUGCCCAUGUAGACAAAUGGGGCUUAUUCAGCCUUAGAAAGGGAGAAAGCUCUGUUACGUGCUGUAACUCAGAAGAACCUUGAGAACCCAAUGCUGAGUGAAACAAGCCAGUCACAAAGGACAAAUACUGUAUGAUUCUACUGAUAAGAGGUUCCUAGAGUUGUCAAGUCCAUAGGGACAGAGGAGGCUCCCUCAAGAAUGGCGUUCAGCAUUGGUGAGCUGAGUUUCCAUCAUCUAGACACGAUGGAAUAAAGCACUGGCCACAGGAGUGAAUGCAGUCGCCAGCUCUGCUGCCCUCCCCUUCCCAGACGUCAGAAAUAAGAUGUAUUCAUUUCACGUACAAGGAAUCAGGAGUUUGAGCCAAUAAGAAGGCAGUUACAAUAAAU
ensembl:lncRNA